GAUAUUGUCCAAUUUCCCAUGCUUUCUUGUUUUCUUUUUCAGCCACAAAGACAAGAUUUAGGGGAAAGGGAAGAUAAGGGGAGAAACAUACCGUCAAUUUCUGGGUGCCUUUUGCAGAGAGGGAAUAUCUUCAGAUUAGCAGAGAGGGAAGGAGAAAACAGAGAGAAAGGAAAAGGGAAAAGAAAGAACGAGGGUCACAAUUUAUUUGGAGAAGCGAGUUCUUUUGGCGACCAUGGUUAUUUGGAGAAGCGAGUUCUUUCUUCAUCGUCCUUCCUGUGAAGGAAGGAGAGG
rnacentral:lncRNA from 1 species